UACUUACCGCGAUUUGGUAGUGCUGGUAUAGUAGAGAGCUUAGUAUUGCGCGUUGUUGUACACGCCCGAAGGCACUCAUACAGCAGUGUAGGUUAUAUACAAUGGGUAGCAGGUUCUAAACAAGGGGUUUCGGAGCAGGUGCACUAGGGCAGGAUUGUGCUACUAAGCAGCGACCGAGCCACUUAACGCAGUGCUAAGCAAAGGAAAUGGUGUGCUGACAUUUGCCUUAUUUGUUGGAAGCUCUCUCGGUGAGUCGUCACGGGUGCAUAUCGACUUAAUCCAUCAUAGCUGUCCGUGCCAAUCCGUACCACUGGGCCGAGUAUUUGGCCUCAUUCGUGUAAUCCUAUAUGCGCUUGAAAGGGAUUUACGCAGAUGUCUCUAUUUGGAGAAGGCAACGUCUUAUAUUGACGCAUUGUUAAAAGUGUCCCAAUGCCCUUCGGGGUGCGAGAAGAAGGUGGAAUACUAUCACAAAGGCCACUCUUGUUACGUUGGAGAUGAUCAUCACGAACAAUUUACCCCGCCGAAUGGGACUUAGUACAUAUUUUAGUGUCCUACGUACUUGAACCCAACAAACAAAGCCCUCAAAGCCACACCACAAGAAACUGAUAAAGCUGGCCACACACCACAGAAAGACGGACUGCUGCUGCACACUCACCGCACCACUAGCAACAGAUAAGCGUUAACAACGUACAACCACACCACCGUAUGCUCCCCUCUUUCCGGUGACAGCUGUGCAGAGCACAGCUUUUCGAUUUCCCAUACUAAUCAUCAUGAAUUGCGCGGUUGGGAAUGAACAAAGGAGGCGGACUUUUGGAAGCGUGGUAAGGACCGCAUGUGUACUCCACACUUUCGACUGGCAGCAUAUCACAACACAUCGCUAGAACACAUAUCGAGACCCCCAGACGGCAUGGCUCCCGGAAGUUGGAGCUAUUUGGUGGCCCAUUUUACAAGACCACUGCCUGCAUCUGCUAUUAAUACACGCGUGCUGGACCAUUUAAACUGCUCGGGUUUAGAGGAGCAUUGCAAUUCUGAGCAAUAAUUCAAAUGACCUCAAGAUGUAGUAAUUAAUAUAACGGUCUAUACCUAACGGUAAACAUUUAAGGAAAUCCUAAUCCAACGAGGCAACCAAGGUUUCGUCAGGCGUGCUCCGCGAAAGAGAACACCGACGGAGGUGUGACCACGUGUACACUACACGGUAAAAUUAGAUCCUUCCUAGAUUGUCCCCAAACAAGUUCCGCACACGUUCCGGGUGGCCGUCGCCACAUCGCAAGGUCGUCCAGAACAUAGCUACACUUCCUGCUUCCCGCGCCUCUACACCGGAAGAGUUCAAGGCAGGAGUUGGUGUAGAUCUUGCCGAAAAGAAACCAGCCCGUUGGUUGGCUACCGUCCAACAGCUGGCCACGGCACCAAAGGCGUUUAUAGCGUUGUAGCCAAAGUAAAUGACACCACAAAGCGAAUUUAUGAAUUCGCAACAAAUACUACCGACACACCACCGGGCAACACGCGAAGGUGAGAAGAGAGCAGAGGGUGAGGUAAGAGAGAAUGAUAGAGAGAGAGAGAGAAAGAGAGAGAGAGCGAUUGAGAGAGGGACGAAAAAAAUCAAACAACCAAACCAUUUACACUAAAGCGACGGUGAUGAUGAUGGUGGUGGUUGAUGUCAUUGCUAUAUUUGAACCACACAACCACUUCUCGCAUGAGCAACGAGCAACGCACACACAACAGUUGGCAACCAUACCCCUGCCCCAAGCCACCCUCUUUAGUCACCCUCUCUCCCUCUUCUCUCUUUCACUUGCAAUCAUCGAUGACUACGAAGACGGCAACGACUACGACAGAUGGCAGAUGGUGGAAUGCACUAAUAAAUAAGGCGGAUUUCCAGCGGGUCCAAAAUGCAGUUGUUUGGCUGGUGGAAGCAGCGCAAGAGCCGUUUCCCUUCAUCUGGUUCAGGUGGCCCGCGACAGGCGACGAGAGUUGACGAUCACCCGCAUGCCGCAUUGGAAAUGGAUACAUGGCACACCCCCCCCCCCCCCCCCCCCCCUUCCGGCUCUUCCAAUACUACCGGCACAUUCCGAUGUGUUUAAAAUUAAAAUCUUACGUAUCGUGGACGAUGCGAUCAUCCUUAUACUCCGUGAGGCAAAGAAUAAAAAAAAAAAAAUAAGGAAGGACAGUGGCAAAGAAGUAACAACAUGUACAUCCCCCUCCUCCGCAGAUGAAAGAUGGGCCUGGCUGCACCGUGUGUGUUGGAUGUGUGUUUUGGUAAGGAUUUUCACCGGUUGGGCUGGGCGGGUCGGUUAUGAAAAUAAACUCCCAAAUAUCGUCAAACAA